AUUGAACGCUGGCGGCAGGCCUAACACAUGCAAGUCGAACGAGUGGCGGACGGGUGAGUAAUGUCUGGGAAACUGCCCGGUGGAGGGGGAUAACUACUGGAAACGGUAGCUAAUACCGCAUACCAUCGGAUGUGCCCAGAUUGGAUUAGCUAGUUGGUGGGGUAACGGCUCACCUAGGCGACGAUCCCUAGCUGGUCUGAGAGGAUGACCAGCCACACUGGAACUGAGACACGGUCCAGACUCCUACGGGAGGCAGCAGUGGGGAAUAUUGCACAAUGGGCGCAAGCCUGAUGCAGCCAUGCCGCGUGUAUGAAGAAGGCCUUCGGGUUGUAAAGUACUUUCGUCGGGGAGGCGUUACCCACAGAAGAAGCACCGGCUAACUGCGUGCCAGCAGCCGCGGUAAUAC
rnacentral:rRNA from 1 species